CUGUUUUUGUGGCAGUGGAAACGGCUGACAGCGCACAGUGAGACCUCUCUGCUGCCAUGGGAACCCAUCUGCUCUGGGAAUAUUUGUAUUUUAUCGCUGGAUAUGCCAUAACAGGCCUAAUAAUAAAUUGUCUGAAAUACAGAAGACUGCAAAACGAAAGACCCAGGCAUCCUCCCGCCAGAGUCAGAAAGUGGGUAGUAUCACAAGCCAUUGAGGAAGUAGUAAGAGCAGUAGAGUUAGUAGUAGCAGCAGUAGUAGCACAAGUAGUAUACCACACAGUAGUAGCAGUAGUAGGCCGCUGUUAUUCAACAUUAUCGUUGAGGAUGUGAAAGAAAUGAAGUGGUUAAUGAACAUGAAUUGUGCUAAUUUCUGCUCACAUCUGCUUAUGAGUCACAAAGAGCGCGAUUUUUAUAGACCGCAAGGAAAGAGGGACUGAUGAAGUCAGAAAUAUUUUAGUGACCAUUGUGUUAAACAGCAUCCAUUUUGUAUCUCUAUGUUUCUUUGCGGCGAGUGACUAAACGUAGCUUGCAUCUCUUCUAGUUAUUUGCUUUGUGAUUAUUACUUUGAUUUCGCUGUAUUUUCAAGAAACUGCUGAGCUAGGCAAAUUAGCAUCACAUUUUGAAAAGGGAUAUUUACAAGAACAGUGACCUCAGACGUGGAUAUAAUUAUGACAUAAUUAUAAAUGUAACAUAUAUAUUUUUGAUCACUUUGAUCUGCAUCCAUGAUUGGUCAUUGUAAUCUUUAGUAUGUAAGGGGGUGUGCCCCCAGACUUUGAAAUAAAAAGGACCUCCUGGGACACACCCAGACAGAGGCUCCAAUGUAUA